GCAGCUGUGGAGUGGAAACAGUGUCAGACUCGAUUCUUCCUCCUCCUCUUCGGAGGGAACCUGCCACUUCUAGCUGCCCUGCCCUCCCUUUUAAAGGGCAACUUGCCCCACGCCGGACCUCAGCUCCAGCCUGCUCCCGCCUCGGGCUCAGCUGGUCCAUCACCCUGUCCGCGCUUCUGCCAGUGCCCUGUAGCUUCUACAGAGAGACGCGCCCCGAGAUGGAGAGCAAAGCACUGUUCCUGGUGGCCCUUGGCAUGUGGCUCCAGAGUCUGACCGCCACCCGCGGAGGGGUGGCCGCCGCCGAUAGAAUUACGGGAGGAAGAGAUUAUAUAGAUAUUGAAAGUAAAUUUGCUCUAAGGACCCCUGAAGACACAGCUGAGGAUACUUGCCACCUCAUUCCUGGAGUGACAGAAUCUGUGGCUAACUGCCACUUCAACCACAGCAGCAAAACCUUUGUGGUGAUCCAUGGCUGGACGGUGACAGGAAUGUAUGAGAGUUGGGUGCCAAAACUUGUGGCUGCCCUGUACAAGAGGGAACCUGACUCCAAUGUCAUUGUGGUGGACUGGCUGUCACGGGCCCAGCAACAUUAUCCAGUGUCUGCCGGGUACACCAAGCUGGUGGGAAAAGAUGUGGCCAAGUUCAUCAACUGGAUGGCGGAGGAAUUUCACUAUCCUCUGGACAAUGUCCAUCUCUUGGGAUACAGUCUUGGAGCCCAUGCUGCUGGCAUUGCAGGAAGUCUGACCAAUAAGAAGGUCAAUAGAAUUACUGGCCUAGAUCCAGCUGGACCUAAUUUUGAAUAUGCAGAAGCUCCAAGUCGCCUUUCUCCCGAUGAUGCAGAUUUUGUAGACGUCUUACACACAUUCACCAGAGGGUCGCCUGGCCGAAGUAUUGGAAUCCAGAAACCAGUAGGACAUGUUGACAUUUAUCCUAAUGGAGGCACUUUUCAACCAGGAUGUAACAUUGGGGAAGCUAUCCGUGUGAUUGCAGAGAGAGGCCUUGGAGAUGUGGACCAGCUAGUAAAGUGUUCCCAUGAGCGUUCCAUUCAUCUCUUUAUUGACUCUCUGCUGAAUGAAGAAAAUCCAAGUAAGGCCUACCGGUGCAACUCAAAGGAAGCCUUUGAAAAAGGGCUCUGCCUGAGUUGCAGAAAGAACCGUUGCAACAACUUGGGCUAUGAAAUCAAUAAGGUCAGAGCCAAAAGAAGCAGCAAAAUGUACCUGAAGACACGCUCUCAGAUGCCAUACAAAGUCUUCCAUUACCAAGUAAAGAUACAUUUUUCUGGGACUGAGAGUGAUACACAGACCAACCAGGCCUUCGAGAUCUCUCUGUAUGGCACUGUGGCCGAGAGUGAGAACAUCCCUUUUACCCUGCCUGAAGUUUCUGCGAAUAAAACCUACUCCUUUCUAAUUUACACGGAGGUGGAUAUUGGGGAACUGCUAAUGUUGAAACUCAAAUGGAAGAGUGAUUCAUACUUCAGCUGGUCAGACUGGUGGAGCAGCCCUGGCUUUGCUAUUGAGAAGAUCAGAGUAAAAGCAGGAGAGACCCAAAAAAAAAAGUAAUCUUCUGUUCCAGGGAGAAAGUGUCUCAUCUGCAGAAAGGAAAGGCAUCUGUGGUAUUUGUGAAAUGCCAUGACAAGUCUCUGAAUAAAAAGUCUGGCUGAACCUGGGCAAAUCUACAGAAGGAAGAACAGCACAUGAAUUUUACGAAGAAUGAAAUCACUUUUACAAAAGAUGCCCAGUGCUUGGGUGUUUCAAAGAGAAUUUUCCUGAGUAUUAAUCCCUAAUUAAUAAUUAAUUAGUUAUUUUAGGAUACAGUCUUAAAUACCCAAAAAAGUGGCUAAUUCAAUUUGAGGAAUAUAGUGGCCAAAUAGCACAUCAUUAAAAGAGCACAGAUUUAAAAAUCACUGUUUUGUCCUUUGAAAAAGAAAUAAGAACCAUUUUGGCUCACGGUAACAUAAUACACCUUCUUUAUCUAGUGAGUUUAACCAUAGCGUAAAAUUAAGUAGAAUCUCACUUUUUAAUCAGAAGCUUGCAUUUUCUGGACUGAUACCUUCUCAAUGUUUUCUCCAAAUCUGAAUAUAGAAAAUGAUUUUUUUUUUUUUUUUGGUGGCAUGAGUUGGACCCAUUUUCUUACUAGUCAAAGCACCUGACUUUUUUGGAAUGGUUUUUCUCUUGCCAUCAGGUUCUGUGUUGCCCAGGAGUUAACCAGGGACUAGUGACUUGGAGAGAGGCAUAGAAAAUGAAAUUGAUAAAUCACUGAAACUUUAAACCCUCCCUGCAGCUGGUUGCAUCAUUGCUAAGUUACAAAUUAAAAGAGAUAUAAAAUUUAGACCAAUUCAGUCUUAAUAGGCUUAUAGUUUGUCGCUUAAUCUCUACCUGCCAUUUGUCUCAAGAUUAUAUUUUAACAGUGCUUUCUAGGUUGGUGUUUUACAUGAGCCUGUUAUUGUCAACUGACACAUAAUUUUAACUAUGGGGAAAGAAAAUGAUACCACAAUUUCAUUAAUCAGAUUUCUGAAGUUAUAUUCAUCAAUUUGAGGUCAUUUAAUAUCUGAUAGGCACUGUUCAAUUUUAGGUUUAUCUCAGUCAUGCUUCAAUCAUACUUUGAGCAUGUCUCUUCCCUGGUUUUAGUAAGAAAAUAUGUACUCAAGGUCAAAUUUUACAUCACGCAAACUUCUAUAAAUUUUAGACAAGGGUCAUUGUUACUAAGUUAGGAGGUGAAAAAUUAUAUAUCCAUAAACAGUGCUUAAAACCACUGUGAGCAAUUAAAAGAAUCCUCAAUUGCCAUAGCCACAUGAAAUGCCAUGAGAGGUGUUAUUUUUAACAACUAGUCCAGAGUGAGUGAACAGUUAUUUAUAAACUAGAUAUCAUAUUUUCAGAAUGAUCUUCUAUAUAUUAAUAUAAAUUGAUAAACAAGUAAAAUGUCUCAAAGACUAUUGCUGGGAAUCCAAACUAUGAACAUGUGUGGGUAUCUGAACAUAAGACUCACAUACGAAGCCCCACAUGUACAUUUAUUAUUCAGCAUGGCUUGGAAAGUAAACAAGAGAUACAGUAUUAGGAUGUAUUGAAGUAGAAAUUAUUCCAGAGGUACUAGAACUUAAGCCCUUCAUUUGAGAAAUAUGGUUAUACCUAUACAAAGUAGGAUGAAUGCUGUGAUAGAUAUCAGCCAACUUGGAAUGAAUUUUUUCUAAAAAUAAAAUAUUGUGAGAUUUGUUGUUGUCA